rnacentral:rRNA from 1 species
UACGAAGGGGGGCUAGCGUUGCUCGGAAUCACUGGGCGUAAAGGGUGCGUAGGCGGGUCUUUAAGUCAGGGGUGAAAUCCUGGAGCUCAACUCCAGAACUGCCUUUGAUACUGAGAGCUUGAGUCCGGGAGAGGUGAGUGGAACUGCGAGUGUAGAGGUGAAAUUCGUAGAUAUUCGCAAGAACACCAGUGGCGAAGGCG